CUUGAACGCUGGCGGCAGGCCUAACACAUGCAAGUCGAACGAGUGGCGGACGGGUGAGUAAUGUCUGGGAAACUGCCCGAUGGAGGGGGAUAACUACUGGAAACGGUAGCUAAUACCGCAUACCAUCGGAUGUGCCCAGAUGGGAUUAGCUAUUAGGUGGGGUAACGGCGCACCUAGGCGACGAUCCCUAGCUGGUCUGAGAGGUUGACCAGACACACGGGAACUGAAAAACGGUCCAGACUACUACGGGAGGUAGCAGUGGGGAAUAUUGCACAAUGGGCGCAAGCCUGAUGCAGCCAUGCCGCGUGGAUGAAGAAGGCCUUCGGGUUGUAAAGUACUUUCAGCGAGGAGGCGUUACUCGCAGAAGAAGCACCGGCUAACUCCGUGCCAGCAGCCGCGGUAAUAC
rnacentral:rRNA from 1 species